AGGAAAUCUGAACAUUGAGAGUAGCAUGUCAAUCAAGCACAACACCACAAAGCAGGUUGAACUUUUACCCGUAAAAAUACCAUUUAAUAAUUUAAAAUUCUUCAGCAGGACAGAGAAUGUUUUGAAAUAAUAAUGUCAGAAUUUUUAUAUUUACAGUGCUGUGCAUGUAUAUAUAUAUUCCUUUUUUUUUUCUUUUUUUUUUUUUUUACAAAAGUACAACCACAGGAGCAUCAACAAAAGACCAAACAUGAAUAUAUUGUUCUGUUUGUCAUCCGUUUGAUUUGCUGAAUAAACUGUUCAGACUCAUUU